AAGGAAGUCUCCCAGUCAGUUUGUGACUGCAGUGUGCCAGCUGCUCCUGAGUUGUAGAUGUGAUGAUGUGAAAAUGACCAUGGCCCAGGCUGGAGCAGUAGUUGCAACUGCAACAGGAGUUCUGCUUUUUCUCCUCUACGCCUCCAUUCACAAAGUCGAGGAGGGUCACCUGGCUGUGUAUUACAGCUGCUAAGUGCCUGAAAGUAAACACGCUUUACUGUUCCAUUCUUCCACAUAAGCAGUCGCUCUGGUUACCAUGGAGAAGUUAUACAAAUGUGGUUGAGAGGAGUAUUCUCCUGCCAGC